rnacentral:rRNA from 1 species
CGCGUAGGUAACCUGCCUGGUAGCGGGGGAUAACUAUUGGAAACGAUAGCUAAUACCGCAUAACAGUAGAUGUUGCGUGACAUUUGCUUAAAAGGUGCAAUUGCAUCACUACCAGAUGGACCUGCGUUGUAUUAGCUAGUUGGUGGGGUAACGGCUCACCAAGGCGACGAUACAUAGCCGACCUGAGAGGGUGAUCGGCCACACUGGGACUGAGACACGGCCCAG